rnacentral:rRNA from 1 species
AUGGUUGGACUCAUAGGGAGGGAGCCAGGGGUACAAGGGAAGUCCACCGGUGCAAGUUAUCAUUGGAUUGCUGAACACUUUGGGGAAUGCCCGGCUGAUGCGGACAAUGAAACAGUGCAGCAGUAUACCAGGGCAUACUUGUGGUAUGUAGUCAGUCUAACUCUUUUCUAUGACGGCACUGGCGUGAACGCUUCCUUUACGUGGCUUAAGCUGUUUGCUGGGUGGGAGCAUGGACUCAGUUUGGGUACAUCGGCUUUGGCUUAUUUGUAUCGUCAGGUAAGUAGUUUUGCUUAUAAUAGUGUGUUCACCAUGUAG